UUUAAACCUUUGCUUAAGGAAAACUGUUUAGCAAAAGAACACGACAAAAAGACCCAUCUGUGUGCACAGAAAGGAAUCCUGAGGUGAGGAGAGAAGGAAGGAAUCCUGAGGUGAGAGAAGGAAGGAAUCCUGAGGUGAGGAGAGAAGGAAGGAAUCCUGAGGUGAGCAGAGAAGGAAGGAAUCCUGAGGUGAGGAGAGAAGGAAGGAAUCCUGACGUGAGCAGAGAAGGAAGGAAUCCUGAGGUGAGAGAAGGAAGGAAUCCUGAGGUGAGAGAAGGAAGGAAUCCCGAGGUGAGCAGAGAAGGAAGGAAUCCCGAGGUGAGCAGAGAAGGAAGGAAUCCCGAGGUGAGAGAAGGAAGGAAUCCUGAGGUGAGGAGAGAAGGAAGGAAUCCUGACGUGAGCAGAGAAGGAAGGAAUCCUGAGGUGAGAGAAGGAAGGAAUCCUGAGGUGAGCAGAGAAGGAAGGAAUCCUGAGGUGAGCAGAGAAGGAAGGAAUCCCGAGGUGAGAGAAGGAAGGAAUCCUGAGGUGAGGAGAGAAGGAAGGAAUCCUGAGGUGAGAGAAGGAAGGAAUCCCGAGGUGAGCAGAGAAGGAAGGAAUCCUGA
rnacentral:lncRNA from 1 species